AAAAUGGUAAGUACUAAUUCAAGACACUAGAAAUGUAGGAAAAUAAACUGCAAACAAAGGAGCUUUGGCCUGGAAGUGUUCAAUCAUGCAUGUUAAUAUUUUUGGGGCUUAAAUAUGUAUUUAGUCCCUGCAAUUUCACCACAUUUUGGUAUUAGUCCCUGUAUUUUGUUUUGUUGGGUUUAAAUCCCUGCAAUUUCAAAACAGUUUGCUUUUGGUCCCUGUUACCACUCACCCGUUACAAAAAUAGUUAGAGCUAACGGAGUGCCACGUGGUCCAGUCAAUGUAAGCCACGUGGCACUUGAAAAGUCUCACUUUUUUC
rnacentral:lncRNA from 1 species